GAGUGGCAAACGGGUGAGUAACGCGUGGGCGACCUACCUCAGAGUGGGGGAUAACCUUCCGAAAGGAGGGCUAAUACCGCAUGACAUACCGUGUUUGGAUACACGGAUAUCAAAGCCGGGGAUCGUAAGACCUGGCGCUUGGAGAGGGGCCCGCGUCCGAUUAGCUAGUUGGUGAGGUAACGGCUCACCAAGGCUCCGAUCGGUAUCCGGCCUGAGAGGGCGGACGGACACACUGGAACUGAGACACGGUCCAGACUCCUACGGGAGGCAGCAGUGGGGAAUUGUUCGCAAUGGGCGCAAGCCUGACGACGCAACGCCGCGUGGAGGAUGAAGACUUUCGGGUCGUAAACUCCUUUCGACCGAGAUGAAUUUCCUGCGACCUAACACGUCGCGGGAGUGACAGUAUCGAGGGAAGAAGCCCCGGCUAACUCCGUGCCAGCAGCCGCGGUAAUACGGGGGGGGCAAGCGUUGUUCGGAAUUACUGGGCGUAAAGGGUUUGUAGGUGGCUUGUUAAGUCAGACGUGAAAUCCCUCAGCUUAACUGGGGAACUGCGUCUGAUACUGGCGAGCUUGAGUGCAGGAGAGGAACGCGGAAUUCCAGGUGUAGCGGUGAAAUGCGUAGAUAUCUGGAGGAACACCGGUGGCGAAGGCGGCGUUCUGGACUGCAAC
rnacentral:rRNA from 1 species